rnacentral:tRNA from 1 species
AAGGCUUUAGCUUAAUUAAAGUGUCUGUUUUGCAUGUAGAAGAUGUGGGAUAGUGUCCUGCAAGUCUUA